rnacentral:misc_RNA from 1 species
CCCCGUGGAGGCGCUGUCCUAGGGUCGGAUGCACCUCGUCAUGCGAUGGGACGACGCAUGAGUGGCAUUUAGGAUAUGAUCCCAGAGCAGGCUCCAUGUUCYCGGCAUCGAACUGCUUUGGUCUGUCCCUUUCAUUUGUUGGAUCGCCCCGUCCCUUCUAGGGUCGGUUGCGUCCGCUCGCCGGGUCUCUGUGCUCGAUAUCUA